ensembl:lncRNA
AGCACUUUUUAAUAUAUCCUACAACCCCUAUUACUAAUAAAUAAAGUAAAACAUUUGGACUACAGCCCUACAUCCUCCACACAACACAAAGACUAAUCAAAUGUAAUCGGCAGAGUAUUUUAACAACACGGAUGUAAAAAUGUGCCAGGUGAUGGAUUGGCACCCUGUCCAGGGUGUACCCUACCUAGGGUGUUCCCUGCCUUGUGCCCAAUGCUCCCUGGGAUAUUUGCAGGUCUGUACGUUCAACGAAAAUAGCGUCAUUAAACCCUGCCCGCCUUGUCGAGCUGCUAAAUUCCGUUUCCGGUGGGCGCGGAGUCCAGAUGACGCCUGUAUAAGUGUAACAGAUAUGGGAAAUAAAAUGUAUUAUUUUUUAUUUGUGGGUUUUUUUUCCAUGGCAUGUGUUGCGCCGUAAAAUCUAUUAAUUUCGCCAAAAUCCUUCGCAGUUAUUUAAUAGUUUGCUGUUCCUGGGAGUACUUUAUUCGUGUUAUAGCGCUCUUUUCUGGUUGGCAGCGGAUGUAUCGCGUCAUUUCCGGUUUCUCGUCAGUCGGCGUUGAGUUUGACAGAGAGAGGAACUUUCUGAAACAGACAGCAAAAGAAACACAAGGUACGUUAAGUCAUAUACAGUGUUUAAGGGUGUAACAAUAUGGCAUCAUAUUGUAAUUUUUCCAUGAGAGACCAAACUAGACAUGAACCAAUUUGCAGCUGCACUACUGCCAGAGCUGCUCUUAAAAAAAAAUCAAUCAACACAUUGUGGCCAAUCACAAUUCAGAAUGAAACAGUGCUGUGGUAUUAAAAGAGAAAUGUUUAUUCACAUUGUCUCAUUCUACAGUAACAGCUACAUUCACCCAAGAUAUAGAGUUCUCCAGUUCAGGCUACAUAUAUAAAAGAAAGGCACUCAGCAAGGCCAGAUAUUUUAUUGUACAGUCACAGAAAAGCUUGAUAGACAUUUAGAUUCAGAAUCAAGUGAGAGUGUUAAAGAAAAUAAGAUAAAGAAAUAUUUUAAAAAUUUUAAGAAAAAAAAAAAAAAGGUAUUGCAUGUGUACAAAUUAAUGCUUUAAAUCAGGGGCAUCUUACAUAAUGGAUUAUACUUAGUCUGAUGGGCCAGAAAAAGUUGGUUAUUGACCAAUUUAGUGGAAAAGUACAUUGUGUGCACUCUGCAAUUCAUUAAAAAGAAAUAAAUGUCCAUAAAAAUAUUACGGUUCCUAAAUUCAUUUGCUGGGUUGGAUUACAAAUGACUCUAUAGGGCUGGUCAAGUGCUACAGGUGGCAUGUUUGACACCCCUGCUUUAAUGCUGCAUUCAGAGUGGUCAGCUGUAUAAAACAAAUACAUUAUUUAAAUGGCAGCAUGAAGUGAUAAAUAACAUACAAUAAGAAAACAAAUUUAACAAUCUUUGAUUAUUAAUACUGUAUUUUAUAUUACUUUAGGAUUUAAUAAAAGUUAUUUGGUCUUCAUUGUUUUGUGCAACAUUUUAAUUCACAGUAAUAUAAAAGUGUUUUUAAUAAAAUGAAGGGGCAGACUGAUUUUUUUUCAAAUACUGAAUUAAACUUGACUAAUAGCUCAGUUAUAGCAGUCUCUUCUGUAUAACCUAUAGCCAGUGUUAAUGAUGCAGCAAUACAUCUUUUAUAAAAUACCGGUUUACUUUUCACUCUUCUUACGAGUCAGCUUGAAUCAUGAGAAUUUUGGGGUCUAUUUUGGUACAGUAUAUUGAAAAUCACUUUAAAAAAAAUAAUAAAAAAGGAAUGUGCAGAAGUAUUUUACCAUUUAAACAUGAAUACGAAACUAAAAGUGUUUUUUAAUACUGGCUCAUCUACAUUUCAAGACCUUGGAAUUAUACUACGCAUUCGACUUUAUGAUAAUUUUCAGGCUGGAAUGGCGUCAUUUUCCACCUCGGAAUGUUCGACAAAGUUUGCACCAAGUCAGCUAGCUGUGAUGAGUGAUGUAUAGUUUUCUCCACAAAUCGUACAGACAGUGAUCUAGAUUUAAAAAGCAGAUAUUUCUAUAUCGUGAUUGAUCUACAGUGAAAGAUCAAUCACUGUAAACAGGAAAGGAAUUGGUAGUUGAGGAGACCACCCCAGUUUCAAGUUAGGAGCAAUUCUUUGGCUUUUGCUGGUUGGAGUUAGUACAAUAUGCAACCUCGAGUUGAAAGCAUAAUGUUUUAUGUUCCCUUUCAUUGGCAAAAAUAAGUUGAUGUUAUAAAAUAUGUUAUUUUGUAUGUCUAGUGAUAUACAAGUACAAUAUAUUUUACACCAAAAUACUGCUACAAAGUAUAAUAAAAUGUGUGAAGUAUAAAAAUUGUUCUGUCUGCUUUGGCAUGAUUAAAACACUUGUAUCUUGUAAGAAUCCUAUAAUUCCAAGGUCUCUGUUUAUCUAUUUAAUAUUUUUAAAAUGUUAAAAAUGCAACAACAACAACAACAAAAAAAAAGAGUAGUGAAAGUGCAAAAGCAGAUAUACAAGUACAAUUAUAGAAAAGGCAGAAUCAGACCGGAGGGAGAAGCUUAAUCUUCAUAUGCUCUUGGAGUGCUCUGGGUGCUCACCACUGAUGAACAAAAC